rnacentral:rRNA from 1 species
GCGCGGAACCUCCGCAAUGCGCGAAAGCGUGACGGGGUCACCCGAGUGCCAUCCGCUGAGGGUGGCUUUUGCUUGGUGUAAUCAGCCGAGUGAAUAAGGGGAGGGCAAGUCUGGUGUCAGCCGCCGCGGUAAUACCAGCUCCUCGAGUGGUUGGGACGAUUAUUGGGUCUAAAGCGUCCGUAGCCGGCCGGAAAAGUUCCCCGUUAAAUCCGACGAUCCAAUCGUCGGGCUGCGGAGAAUACUCUUCGGCUUGGGGGCGGGGAGGUCGGCGGUAGUCCCGGGGUAGGGCGAAAUCUUAUAAUCCCGGGAGGACCACCAGUGGCGAAGGCGGCCGACUAAAACGCGCCCGACGGUGAGGGACGAAAGCUGGGGGAGCGAACGGGAUUAGAUACCCCGGUAGUCCCAGCUGUAAACGAUGCAGGCUAGGUGUCGGGAUGGCUACGGGCCACCUCGGUGCCGCAGGGAAGCCAUUAAGCCUGCCACCUGGGAAUACGGUCGCAAGGCUGAAACUUAAAGGAAUUGGCGGGGGAGCACCACGAAGGGGUGAAGCUUGCGGUUU